ACACUGGUCUCCAUUCUCCCUGAUGUUUCAGCUCCAGUGUUCCUGCACAGCGGCUGGCUCCUUCCACCAACCUGACAGGCUCUGAACAGAAAAAGGAGAUACAUCCGGAAAGAAGUUAAUUUAAUUAGGAAAAGAUGAAACAGUAAAUGCUGAUUCUGCUUUAAUGAUUUUUUAUUUCUCUUUUCUGUCUUUGUACCUGUUGAGGUGUGUUCUUCAGCCUGGAGUCCUGAGGAGAAAAUCAGAAGAGCAUUGCCAUGGAUGCAGUUCUGUUCACUGUGGAGGACAGCUAUCAAUCCGCUGAAAGAAGUCCGGAUAAUUUAUCAGCUGUGGCAAAAAGUGGGGAAACGUGGAUCAACUUCUGUCCUCCAAUUCAAGCAAUGACAGCAGAUCUGGUGUGUCAACUGCAGCGGCUGUGCAAAAAGGAAACAACAUGAAUGCGGAUACACACCUCAACAUGAAUAUUCCCAAAGAAGUCCCAUUCACCAUGUCUCACUUCACCGUCAACAAAAAUGUUCAGUUUAAUGUGAAUUAGAGCAGCCGAUAGCCCGCUAGCUCACUACAAUGCCUCAGCUAAUGUAGUGUCAACCUGCAGUGAUUAAAAUAGCAGCUGGUCAUUUGUCCACCUAUAGCUAGCGAUAGCAUGGCAGCAAUCCAUCGCAGCCUGACUCAUAAAAUAUACGGCUACCACCACAGCCCAUAAAGGGAAUAAAAUCUGUGCUUGGUCUGGACCGAGGGCUUUUGCCAGAAAUGUAUUCGCUGCAGGAGGGCGAGAUACUGUGGUGUUGAGUGACAGAAGGAGGACUGCAUUAAACAGAGUUUACGUUGCUAUGGACGCAGGAUUCCAACUGUAAAGAUGGAAUGGACUAUUUUCUUUAGCGGAAGCAAUACAAUUGUAGUGUAAUAAGGGGGAUAAUGUAGAGCGAAGCGGUUGUUCUAGUGAAUACAACCCCUUCAGACUGAUUCAAGACCCCUCUGCCUGAUCACCCUGUCAGGUUGUAUUCCCUAUAACAAACACCUUGCUCUACAUUAUCCCUUACAUAACUGCCACUGUUCAUCACACCCCCAACCGGCACCGGCAGACAACCACCCACCAAGAGCCUGAGUCUGUCCAAAGUUUCUCACUAAAAGGAAGUUUUUCCUCACCACUGUAGCACUAAAUGCUUGCUCUU